rnacentral:rRNA from 1 species
UGGGGAAUAUUGCACAAUGGGCGCAAGCCUGAUGCAGCCAUGCCGCGUGUAUGAAGAAGGCCUUCGGGUUGUAAAGUACUUUCAGCGGGGAGGAAGGGAGUAAAGUUAAUACCUUUGCUCAUUGACGCUACCCGCAGAAGAAGCACCGGCUAACUCCGUGCCAGCAGCCGCGGUAAUACGGAGGGUGCAAGCGUUUACCGGAAUUACUGGGCGUAAAGCGCAUGCAGGCGGUUUGUUAAGUCAGAUGUGAAAUCAACGGGCUCAACCUGGGAGCUGCAACUGAUACUGGCAAGCUUGAGUCUCGUAGAGGAGGGUAGAAUUCCAAGUGUAGCGAUGAAAUGCGUAGAGAUCUGGAGGAAUACCGGUGGCGAAGGCGGCCCCCUGGACGAAGACUGACGCUCAGGUGCGAAAGCGUGGGGAGCAAAAAGG